AACUGGAAGUGAUACAACUGUUGAUACAACCUCACCUGGCAGCCACACACCAGAAGAUAAAGAUGUUGGCUGCUUUUCAGCUACAGGAAAAUGGAUAAGUAUAGUAUUGCUGACAAUUUUGAGCUGUUUAACAUUUCAAUACAUACCUCAACCAAAGCUAAAGAAAAGAAGUCAAAAAAAAUCUUGUACAGUAGGAACCUGGUGCAGAGCCACACACUGUUAUCUUAUGCUGCUUGCAUCACUUGUUGGCAUUUCAAUACAUGCAAUACCACUUGCUUUUUUUAUUUAUGAAUGGAAGGAAUGUCCAUAUGAAAAUGGCACAGGCAUCUGCUUUACAGUGGAACCAUUCAAAAAAAGUAAUAAAUCUGAACUAGCUAAAAUUGUAUUGAGAGAUACAGACACACUUGAUACAGAUGUCAAAAGAGGAUUGAUGCAAGAGUUUAUAGAUUUUAGUAAGGUAGCACUAUUAUUUUCAACAACAGCUAAUGUUGUGUCUCAUAUUCUCUUUAUAAUCUCAUUAUGGGC